GACGAACGCUGGCGGCGCGCUUAACACAUGCAAGUCGAGCGAAGCGGCGGACGGGUGAGUAACACGUGAGUAACCUGCCUUAGACAUUGGGAUAGCCUCGGGAAACCGGGAUUAAUACUAAAUGGUCUAAGAUGGACUCGCGUCCCAUUAGCUAGUUGGUGGGUAACGGCCCACCAAGGCGACGAUGGGUAGCCGGCCUGGGAGGGUCGACCGCCACAUUGGAACUGAGAAACGGUCCAGACUCUACGGUAUGCAGCAGUGGGGAAUAUUGCACAGUGGAGGGAACUCUGAUGCCGCUAGGCCGGGUAAACGAAGAAGGCUUUCGAGUCGUAAAGUUCUUUUAUAUGGGAAGCGGUACCAUAAGAAAAAGCCCCGGCUAACUACGUGCCAGCCGCCGCGGUAAUUC
rnacentral:rRNA from 1 species